rnacentral:rRNA from 1 species
UGAGGAAUAUUGGUCAAUGGGCGAGAGCCUGAACCAGCCAUGUCGCGUGCAGGAUGACGGCCCUACGGGUUGUAAACUGCUUUUGUACGGGAAGAAAAAACGCCACGUGUGGUGUCUUGCCGGUACCGUACGAAUAAGGAUCGGCUAACUCCGUGCCAGCAGCCGCGGUAAUACGGAGGAUCCGAGCGUUAUCCGGAUUUAUUGGGUUUAAAGGGUGCGUAGGCGGGAGAUUAAGUCAGUGGUGAAAGUUUGCGGCUCAACCGUAAAAUUGCCAUUGAUACUGGUUUUCUUGAGUACAGUUGAGGUAGGCGGAAUGUGGUGUGUAGCGGUGAAAUGCUUAGAUAUACCACAGAACACCGAUUGCGAAGGCAGCUUACUAAAGUGUAACUGACGCUGAUGC